CGCGCAAUGAUGACGUGACGGGAGCCAUUUUGGAAGUUCGUUACCUUUCGUUGGGUCUUCAGACGGACAGCGUUCUCUAAUCGUUUCUUUUGGUCAAAUUCCUGAGAAGUGCUGUUCAAAAGGUAAGGAAGAAAAAGAAAACAUAUAAGUAAAACUGUUAAUAACUAUCCAUGGGAAUCUUUGGGCUGAGUCAGUCAAACGGUAGGGAAUUAAGUUUUGUUCAUUGUUUUAAAGGUCGUAAUACCUGAGUUCAGAAACCGCUCACAAUUGAGAAAAUGCCGCCUCUUGAAAUGGAUAUAGAAGUGGAAACCGAAGAGGUUUUAAGGAUGGACCACCAUAUGGUACAGGAGCUUACAGACCUAUGCUCGAAGAUAAAGAGGCUACUGUCAGAGCACUUGGAAAAGUAUAAGAGAAUUGAAAGAGAACGGAAACAUGCAAACCCGGUCGGCCACAAAAACGAAUUACAGAAAUAAAUGAAAAAAGAAACUAAGCAUGAGGAAAAAAAGGGAAAAGAUAGAAGAGACAACUAGAGAAUCUGACCAAGAGAUGCAAUCUACGCAUAAUAAGAAUACCUGAAAUAGAUGACAAAGCAAUUGAAGCAGAGACAAAAUUUAGGAACCAAUAGUAGAAAAUUUUCCAGACUUGAGGGACUAACUAGAUCGGCAAAUAGAAAAGCUCAUAGGCUACCAGAACUUAACGAAAAGAAAGCAACACUUAGACAUACCCUAGUGACGUUAAACUGGAAGAUAAAGAAAAAAUUCUACGAGUAUUUAGAGAAAGCAGGUUACUCAUAAAGGGGUAAAAGUCAGACUGACCUGAAAUUUCUUUUGCAGCUCCGAAUGCCAAAAAGACAAGCAAUGUCUACAGAGGUUUAAGGGAAAAUAAUUUUGAGCCAAGAAUUCUGUAUCCUGCUAAGUUAUUUCUAUACGAGGGCAACUGGAAGACAUUCACAGAUACUCAGGAGUUAAAGUAUAAAGUAUAUCACCCAAAUGCUGUCCUUGAAAAAUUUGUUAAAUGACGUUACUGCAACCCAUAAAAACCAUAAGUUAAAACAAUUCAAGGGUAGUGAAGCAAUUGUAUGAAAAAAAUAGGGUAAAAAAAAAAAACUGGGUAAGCAUUAAAGCUAGUUAAACAGCCUUAAGAUUAACUUGUUAGAUGUGGGGUUAUAAGACUAAGUGCAAAAAAUAGAUUUGUAAGUUAAAUGUAAAAUUUCACUUUCUCUCAUUUUAAACUGCAAAGGUGUGGUAAAUGUAUAAUUUAGAAAGCAAGUAAGAGCUGUUAUUUUUAGUAUGCAUUGUAGACAAAGAUAUGCAAGCUCUUCAGCUAAACAUAAGUAAAAUAAAAGGGCUUUGUCAGUGUGGACAGGACACAGUAAAGGCAUUCCAAGUGUUAAUCUGACAAAAUGGGAAAUCGGUACAGUUUUGUGUCCUCUAUUUUUAAUUAUAGAGGGGAAAAAAGUAACAAUUUUAUCUGUAAUGUGAAUACUGUGUAAAAAGAAAAUUUCUAAAUUCCUGGUUGGGGAGGUGGUAGAUGAAAACUUUGUUUUAUGUACAUCUUGUCCAGGGAAAAGCAGUAGUUCCUGUUUCAUGUAGUAGUUCAUUAUAAGUAAAUUUGGCACUGAAAUAAGGUUAUGGGUAAAUUAGAAUAUACCAGCUUUAUGGAUUGGAGAGGAAGUGUGAAAAAUAGCAAGGAAACAAAGUCCUAGAAAUUGAAGUAGGAGCAACGUUGUUAUCAGAAUUUAAGCUAUAACAAAGUAUAAAGCUGUAGGAUGUAAUAUUUAAGCUUUAUGUGGUAAAUAACGUGGCAUUCAUAUGUAAGAUGUUCAGUAUCUGAGUGGUAGUUUUACUGAUGUAUACAUAAGUCAUUUUAAGUGUAGACUUAAAAUUGUUGCAUUUUAUGUAUUUAAUAAAGUAAUUCUUAACAUACAUAUGGCAAAAACUGAUGGACUCUUAAACGUUCAUAGUCCUUAGUAAAGUAAGUGAAAGGAGAUAAAGUAAUUAAAUAGGAGUGUGUGUGUGUGUGUAUGUAUGUAUAGUAGGUAUUACUUUGCUACUUCAUUUGUAUUUUCAGAUUAUCCUGAAACAUGUCUAAAUGAUCUAACGUUAGGAUACAGAGAAAACUUUAAUGUAUGAUCACAUUGCACAAAUGACCACAUUGCAAAACAGCCUUGAAGCUAAGACUAGAUGUUGGAAAAUCACACACUUGGAAUUUUUGGAAUGUUCUUAAAUAACUUCGGCAAAGAGAAAAUUACAACAAACACUGGUAAUUCAGGAAAUGCUACAAUAAGGAUGUUCUACAUUACAUGUUGUGGGAUGGAUGCAUAAAAGGCAAGGAACAAGGAACAUUAGGUGAAGAGCGGAAUAUGCACCUAAUAAGAUAGACUUAGUAACUGGAGUUUCUAAAUUUAGUUACCUUCCGGUCUAAGUCUUACCACCACACCUGCCCCCCCGUACAAAAACUUACUAAAGUGUCAUCUCUUUCUUAGACUUCCAUAUAAUACUUCCUGCUUUGUGGUCUCUGUGAAAAUUAUGGUCUUCAGCAUUGCCUAGGAGCUUGUUAGAAAUGGGUCUCAGGCUAAUAACGUAGGAUUAGAUUAUAAAAUAUAUUAAGCAUCUAUAAAGUUUCUCACUGAGGGACGCCUAGGUGGUUCGGUUGAGUGUCCGACUCUUUGACUUGGGCUCAGGUCAUGAUCUCACGGUUUGUGAGUUCGAGCCCUGCAUCAAAUUCUGUGCUGACAGCUCAGAGCUUGGAGCCUGCUUCAGAUUCUGUGUCUCCCUGUCUCUCUCCCUCUGACCCUCCCCCCACCUCAAAAAUAAAC
rnacentral:lncRNA from 1 species